UUUUGGCUCCUCGGGGGACUCUGUGAUCGGGCAGCUGUUCAGCUGUGAGAUGGAGAACUGCAGCAUGUGCCGCUGUGGGAAGGAGACCGUCCGUGUGUCCUCCACGCUGCUCUUCACCCUCUCCUACCCCGACAGCACCGAAAAACCAGCCAAGGAUUACGAGUUUGCCCAAAUUUUGAAGCGUAGCAUCUGCUUGGAGCAGAACACACAAGCCUGGUGUGAGAACUGUGAGAAAUACCAGCCCACGGUGCAGACCAGGAACAUCCG